ACGGCUCAGUAACACGUGGAUAACCUGCCCUUGGGACCGGGAUAACCCCGGGAAACUGGGGAUAAUACCGGAUAACGCAUAUCUGCUGGAAUGCUUUAUGCGUAAAAUGGAUUUGUCUGCCCAAGGAUGGGUCUGCGGCCUAUCAGGUAGUAGUGGGUGUAAUGUACCUACUAGCCUACGACGGGUACGGGUUGUGAGAGCAAGAGCCCGGAGAUGGAUUCUGAGACAUGAAUCCAGGCCCUACGGGGCGCAGCAGGCGCGAAAACUUUACAAUGCGGGAAACCGUGAUAAGGGGACACCGAGUGCCAGCAUCAUAUGUUGGCUGUCCAGAUGUGUAAAAUACAUCUGUUAGCAAGGGCCGGGCAAGACCGGUGCCAGCCGCCGCGGUAACACCGGCGGCCCGAGUGGUGAUCGUGAUUAUUGGGUCUAAAGGGUCCGUAGCCGGUUUGGUCAGUCCUCCGGGAAAUCUGACGGCUCAACCGUUAGGCUUUCGGUGGAUACUGCCAGACUUGGAACCGGGAGAGGUAAGAGGUACUACAGGGGUAGGAGUGAAAUCUUGUAAUCCCUGUGAGACCACCUGUGGCGAAGGCGUCUUACCAGAACGGGUUCGACGGUGAGGGACGAAGGCUGGGGGCACGAACCGGAUUAGAUACCCGGGUAGUCCCAGCCGUAAACGAUGCUCGCUAGGUGUCAGGCAUGGCGCGACCGUGUCUGGUGCCGCAGGGAAGCCGUGAAGCGAGCCACCUGGGAAGUACGGCCGCAAGGCUGAAACUUAAAGGAAUUGGCGGGGGAG
rnacentral:rRNA from 1 species